AUUGAACGCUGGCGGAAUGCUUUACACAUGCAAGUCGAACGGCAGCACGGGGGCAACCCUGGUGGCGAGUGGCGAACGGGUGAGUAAUACAUCGGAACGUGCCCGGUCGUGGGGGAUAACGUAGCGAAAGUUACGCUAAUACCGCAUACGAUCUGAGGAUGAAAGCGGGGGACCUUCGGGCCUCGCGCGAUCGGAGCGGCCGAUGUCAGAUUAGGUAGUUGGUGGGGUAAAGGCCUACCAAGCCGACGAUCUGUAGCUGGUCUGAGAGGACGACCAGCCACACUGGGACUGAGACACGGCCCAGACUCCUACGGGAGGCAGCAGUGGGGAAUUUUGGACAAUGGGCGCAAGCCUGAUCCAGCCGUUCCGCGUGCAGGACGAAGGCCUUCGGGUUGUAAACUGCUUUUGUAUGGAACGAAAAGGCUCUGGCUAAUACCUGGGGCUCAUGACGGUACCGUAAGAAUAAGCACCGGCUAACUACGUG
rnacentral:rRNA from 1 species